GAGGAGGUGGAGGGUCAUACCUCUGGAAGACAAGAUGAAAAUUCGCGAGAAGCUGGAAGAAGGCGUGAGUAAAACCCACGUGGGGCCCCUGUUGGGCGUCAACGAAUAGACCGUGCGCACCAUUAGGAGAAACGCGAAGGCCAUCAGGGCCGGCAUGGAGACUGUGUCGCCUCUCCGCUCCAAGGUGCGGUGCAUUCCCCGGCACGUAAACAUCGAGAAGUUGGAGACGGAGUUAACCUUUUUGGGUGGAGGCCCAGACCAUAGCGGGGCGGCCUCCGACGCUGAAGGCCGUCUGCAGCCAGGCCAAACGCAUUUACAAGCAGCGGGUGGAAACGACUGGGAAGGGCAGCCCGGAUAAGUUUCAUGGGAGCAAGGGAUGGUUUGAGAAGUUUAGAAAUCGCCACAGUCUGCGAAAUUCGAGGUCGAUGGGAGGGGAAGAAGCGCUGACUGCCCAGUCGGCAUCCAAGUACGUCCAAACAACUCCAGAGGCUGAUCAGAGCUAUGUGCCUCAACGGGUCUUCGAUGCCGAGGAGAUGAGCCAGUUUUGGCAGUGCAUGCCUCCACGUACUUUUAGGGAAAGAGACCAAAAUCCGGAAAGCUUAGAGGAAGCUAAGGACAGGAUUUCCCUCAUUUUUUGGUGCCAGUGCCGCCAGUGACCAAAUGAUAAAACCAUUGCUGCUUUGUAAAGACCCUAAUCCCACAUGUCUUUUGGAAAAAGAUAAAAACCGCCUUCCUGUAUUCUGGAGUUCACACCCCAAACUGCUGCCCCCUUUUUGGAUCGGUUUCAUAAUUGUUUGAUUCAUCAGGCUGGGAGUUAUUUAAUAGAAAAAAAAUCUUGAGUUCAGAGUGUUGCUAAUUUUGGACAGAGGUCCCAGUCGCCCAGACUCAUUUUUGGUUGCUCAUCUUAAUGUUGAUACUGUGUUUCUCCCCCUGGAAGGCACUAGCUGUCUUCAGCCCUUGGAUCAGGGUAUAAUUGAAGCAUUCAGGAGGUAUUACACCAAGCGUAUGUUUGACCACUUUGUUGACUGUAUUGAAAAAAACCCUUGUCUUACUUUGAGAGGAACAUGGCAACAGUACAACGUUGCUGAUGCUUUGGUAGUGAUAAAAGAGUCAAUGGAUGAUAUAAGACCAGCUGCUCUUAAUAAAGCCUGGUGGAAACUUUUGGAUGAUGUUGUGAAUGAUUAUGCAUGUUUCCCUAGAGCUAAUGAAGAAGUUGCAAAAAUCAUGGAGUCUGCAACACGGAUGGACUUUAAAUUAAUUGAUAUCGAACAGGGGGAAAUUAAUGAGGUGCUCAAGUUUCAAGCUUUGUUCAUAACUGAAAGAGAGUCUGUAUCAAUAAAUAUGGAAGAAGACAAGACCCUGGAACUAGAGGUAAAGAUGAAUCUAAGGAAACUGAAUGCUUUCUUAUGCCAGGCCUCAGACCUCAUUGAUGCUGCAAAGGAUAGGGAUCCUUUCCCGUAUCGAAGUUUGGCCUUUAAAAAAGACUUCAAUAAAUUGUUAUAUACCUGUAAAGAGGUGCAAAAGAACCUUCAAAAUAAAGCAAAGGAGUUGAACAAAGAAGACACAAAGAGGAAGUAGUGUGGGUGUAGAAGAUGGAUACAAAAUCUGAGUCUGAAGGGGAGUCUGAAUCUGAAUCCCAAAAGGAGAAGGUAGAGACAGAGAAAGAGGAUAAGAAGCCUCCAGAAGAAGAUCCUGGACCCUCAGGCAUUGGCGCUGAGACUUACUGUAUCUGAAGACUCUGCCGAAGCCAUAAAUGCAAAAUUGGAUUUUUGGAAUCUAACCUUAGAAUUGAAUCUGGAGAGAGUAGAAGUGCCUGAGUUGAAGAAGUGAAUCCAGACGCGUUUUCUUCCAAAUGAUGAUUCAUCUCUUGCCAUUCUUCCCCUCUUGUUCCAACAUCACUUUCAUCAUGACCAUGCUUAUCAUCAGCCACACAUCUAUAUUGUUUUGUCAUUCCACAAACAUUUAUUGAGCAUAAGCUAUUUGGGGUCCCGUGCUAAACUUGGGGACAUGAUCUCAGGAAGCCAUCUCAGGAUCUAAGAUCCUGGCAGCUUCUUUCCUGUCCUAUCCAGUGCUCAGGACCCUUAGCCUGCAGCUCCAUUCAGCUAUCACCGGCAGCUACGUAUCCGG